rnacentral:lncRNA from 1 species
GAGGUGACAUGGGACGCUACCGUGGCAGCCUUCGCGCAGGACUACGCGGAUCAGCGCCGCGGCGACUGCCAGCUGGUACAUUCAGGCGGGCAGUACGGGGAGAACCUCUACGGAGGCGGCGGCGGCAGGACCGGAUGGACGGCGAUGGACGCCGUGAAUUCAUGGGUGUCGGAGAAGCAGUACUACGACCACAGCAGCAACAGCUGCUCGGCGCCGGCGGACAAGUCGUGCUUGCACUACACGCAGGUGGUGUGGCGCGACUCGACGGCCAUCGGUUGCGCCCGCGUCGUCUGCGACAGCGGCGACGGUGUGUUCAUCAUCUGCAGCUACAACCCGCCAGGCAACUUCCCCGGGGUGAGCCCGUACUAGGCUAUAUGCAUCAUGCAUGCAUGCAUGCGAGUGUGCAUGUACGUACGGCGUAUUGCAUAAAUAAAAUGAUUAAGCUGUGAUAACUACAGUGUGAUCAGAUGAGAUAUAUAAAUAACCAGCCGGCCGGAUUUGACGUCAUAUAUUGUUUAGACCGGCUGUAUAGAUAUGUAUAUGUACUGUUAUGAUUCAGGUAAUAAGUUGUGUUAUUGUACAAGCAGUGUUUAUGAAUAAAUAUAUGGUUCUACUAUUAUACUGAGUAUGAUAUUUGUGCUUCGCUGUGGAAAAAAACCACUAAUCAAAGUGUCUUUCUUCCAUUUUGUCAUCUCGCACUUGUUCUCUAUGUUGUGCAUUUUCUGUUUUGCAUCCCAACUCAUACAAACAAACGGAGUAGAUCUCGAGAUGGCAUGAUAGGUCUCGUUUCUGAGACUCUCGCUCCCUCUCUGCGCCAUAGGCCACUCCGGCCGUGACGGUCACCCACUCUGCCAUUAUGGCUCACCCAUCCCCUCCCAGGUUUUGCUUCAGAUCCAGCUCUAGCCGCGGUCCCGUGCAAGCUCACUCUCGACCAGCGGUCCAUGGUAGGUUUCGGACUCGCUUUCGGCCCCGUCCGUGAAUGCAGUAGAUCUGACCUCGACGCCACAAAUCCUACCGCGGGGAGAGUCAUCCCAUGCCACGCAUGCCUGUGGUACUCCGGAUCUGGGCGUUGUGAUUGAGCGGCAGUACCUAAAUCCAUCGUGGUCAUCCCCUCCGCUCUUGUCAACAUUUCCUCUUCGAGCGAGGAGGAAGGAUGGACGAAGCUCUAAUCCUGAAGGAACACACAGACAAGCAAGGAACCAUAGAUUAUUAGCGCCCACAUACAGCUACACCACUCGGACCGACGACGGGACAUCAAUGGUGCACCGGGCCGCGAGGUCUUCUUAAGCUGCUUCAAAGGCCGAGAUCCUCUGGGCUGCAUAUCGUUUGCGAGCUGCUAGGGCAUUUCGGCACAGAGUACCCUCAAAAUCCAUGAAAGGGCGGACCAUGAGGGGCUGCCCGUGCGAGGCUAUGUCCGGCACCGACCAGGGCGCCAGUUCAAGAUCAGGUUCAAAGCGCCAGGCAAUUACCCCUUGAUCCACCAAAAGAGAUAAAAUGUGAAUGAACUUCACUAUUUGUUUCAGAAGAUAACUUACCAGUGUUGUUGUUAAUUACAAAUGAUUGUGAAGGUGUAUGGUAGGAAGCCAAUAACACUUAGUGUAGAAUAUUUUUAAAUGCAAAGUACAUAAAUUUUGUAUUGGAGAUGCCGGCUUCUUUCUAGUAUGAUAUAAAUUGCAAUCUUAUAAAUAUUGUUCUUUAGUGCAAUUGUUGCUCAAUAGAACAUCUCAAAAUAUGUUCGAAAGAGUUCAAUCAAGUCUUGCGAGUUAACCCGCCGACAAUGAUUUAUGGCUAUUUGAUACUCUGGGUGCAUAUAUGCAGAAAAUAAAUCGUAUUGGUUGUAGGUUAUGAUGCUAAUACUGGACAAGGAAGCACUGGUGCAGCAGCUGUAAUCUGGAGGGGUCUAUCAUAUUGCCCGUGUCUUCUCUCUCAUGUUGUGACUCGAGGCUGAAGAAACCGAAAUUAUUGCCUGACUGAAGGACUAAAAGCACCGACGACUGUUUUAAUCCAUCCCAUCAUUCAGAUUGUUUGGCUAUUGUUUCUACUUUGAAGAAUGCAGUGCACAAUAAAUCUCGACUUCACAAUAGUGAUGUGGAAACUAGGGACUGAAUUUGUGAAGAUUGCCAGCAUGAUUCUUAUCAAUUUGGUAAAUUUUAAAACCAUAUAACAAAAAAGUCUCAAACAUGUUGUGUCUGGUUUUUCUCGCUAGCUUUUAAACAGUAGAAAAGAUACUCUUGGUAUAGAUUGGCCAGUGUUUGAGCUGAGCCAGAAAAGAAAAUAUAUUUUGUAUAUACUCCAUGGGUAAGUCAUGCAGGUUGCUCUGGCAAUUAAAAAUGCAGCUAAUGGUCCGGUUAUUCUUGACACUUUGGGUCUAUAUAAUUUAGGUUUCGUUCUACUUGGUCAAUAUUAAUUAUUAUACAAUUUUAUAUAUCCAAGUAUAGAUUACAUGCCCUCACGUUUGGACUGGUCAGGGCAAAGAUUAAGUUCCAUCUAAACAACUAAAUUGAUUUUAGAGGCUAUAAGUAUAAUGCAUGGGAGUUAGGUGACCACUUCUGUCCAAAAUAGUGAAAGUAGCCAAUUUAUAUAUAUAAUUUACAGCAAAUAGUGCAAGGCACUCGUGGGACUGGAUUGUAGCAUGGGAUUUUAGGAUACUAGGGGCUUUGUUCAUGCAUUUUUGCUUGAAGAAACAUGUCUGCUACUUUGGGAUGGUGCUCCAAUGGUACACUGCCACCAUUUUGAGGCCCUUGACAGAAAAUUGAGAGAUAUACUUUCAAUGAACGGCAGCAACAAAUGUACUCUUCCUUUUGAUAUUCUACAAUAGAAGAAAACUUCAAUGCUACAUUGAUUUGAUCUCUCACACAAAAACAACAGCCGGACAAAUCACAACUAAACCGACGAUGGGCAAUUUCACGAGCACGCGGCUUCGCACGGCUAGUAUAGUUUAGACCGGCAAUGGUUGUGUAUUGCCAUGAUUCAAGUAAGUUGUGUUAUUGUACAAACAGUGUUUAUGGAUGAAUAUAUAGUUCUACUAUUAUGUUGAUUAUGGUAUUUGUGGCCUUGCUAUGGCAAAAAGAUCAGCACAUAUAGAAACCACUAAUGAAAUAAAGUUUAUUUCUUUCAUUUUUUUCAUCUCUUAGACUUGUUCUCUAUGCUGUGCGUUCUCUUUAUUUGGAUACAACUCAUACAGACAGAAUUCAUGUUGCCAUUCACUACAAAAAAUACUGCAUAUGCUGAGUGGUCGGUUGUAUAUCAAGUGUUAUUUUAUGGGGUGCUCAGCAUAAAACCCAAUUUGCCAAACAAAAACUGGAAACACUCAGCAUAAUAUUACCGACCUUCCUUCCUCUUCUUGCCGGUCAGCUAUUUCUCUCGCUCUACUGACAACAUCACACGAUGCACCACUCUGUCAUAAUGCACACACACUCUGUAUCCCACUACUUCGGCAAAUCAUUGCCCUGGGUCCCACUUCUAUAGCUACAUGGUCAUGCGCACAACUUCCACGACUCCAGCCAAUCUGAGUCAUGUUUCCGGUCGUCUUCGACACUCUCUUUACUUGUCUCGUGCCCUCUUUCUGCUCACCGACGGUUGCAUCAUCGACCGACCGCUUUGCCGAGGCAUAUCACUUUGCAUCACUCCUACUUGCACACAUUGUAUAGUUGCCGAGUUUUUCUUAUCUCCAAAUACCAUGCACUAGGACAUCAAUAUGAUCAUAAUGUUACAGCAUAGCUAGAAAGACAAAAGAAGAGCCAAAAACAACUUUCCGCUGAUUGAGUUGUGCCAUGUUACCGAAAAAGCUCACGUCCCACUUUAUAUAUAAAGCAAGUUGUGACACGUUCAAAAUAAGAUUUCCGCGACCAAGGCCAAUGUUAAAUCAAUCUCGCGUGAAGUUGAACGAGAAAAUUAGCACUCAUUUGGCUACUACGACCUGACCUCUUCUCAGACAAUGAAGAUGAUGGAGUUAUUAGGUAGCUAGGUUCGUGCCACGAGAUCAAAUGACGAAGUUCCUCCACAUCGGUAGAGGUAAUCUCGAUCAGAAGAAAUAACAGGCCGCCCACGAUGAUAUCUGACUACCUCAACGCGCGCACAUGUGCUUCGAAUUUGACCAGUGUACUUCGUCGAGAUAUAUUUUUCUAUGAAACUUUUCAAGCUUAGUUAUACCUCAGAGAAGCAAUCGAUCUUGUGCAGGCAGUACAAAUACACAACGUACGCAUGGUGGCAGUCUAUCUCAUCGUUACAGAUACAUCUUCCUUGAUUAGUUUUGUAAGGCUUAGUCAGCGAUGGAGUACUCGCCGAAGCUAGCAGUAGUGGUGCUCUUAGCUCUCGCGUCCGCCAUGGCGGUCACGGCCCAGAACUCGGAGCAGGACUUCGUGGACGCCCACAACGCGGCGCGCGCUGACGUGGGCCUUGGGGAGGUGACAUGGGACGCUACCGUGGCAGCCUUCGCGCAGGACUACGCGGAUCAGCGCCGCGGCGACUGCCAGCUGGUACAUUCAGGCGGGCAGUACGGGGAGAACCUCUACGGAGGCGGCGGCGGCGGGACCGGAUGGACGGCGAUGGACGCCGUGAAUUCAUGGGUGUCGGAGAAGCAGUACUACGACCACAGCAGCAACAGCU